rnacentral:tRNA from 1 species
GCCUGGGUGGCUCAGUCGGUUAGGCAACUGACUUCGGCUCAGGUCACGAUUUUGCGGUUUGUGGGUUUGAGCCCCGCAUCAGGCU